UAGGGAAUCUUCCACAAUGGACGCAAGUCUGAUGGAGCAACGCCGCGUGAGUGAAGAAGGUUUUCGGAUCGUAAAGCUCUGUUGUUGGUGAAGAAGGAUAGAGGUAGUAACUGGCCUUUAUUUGACGGUAAUCAACCAGAAAGUCACGGCUAACUACGUGCCAGCAGCCGCGGUAAUACGUAGGUGGCAAGCGUUGUCCGGAUUUAUUGGGCGUAAAGCGAGCGCAGGCGGAAGAAUAAGUCUGAUGUGAAAGCCCUCGGCUUAACCGAGGAACUGCAUCGGAAACUGUUUUUCUUGAGUGCAGAAGAGGAGAGUGGAAUUCCAUGUGUAGCGGUGGAAUGCGUAGAUAUAUGGAAGAACACCAGUGGCGAAGGCGACUCUCUGGUCUGCAACUGACGCUGAGGCUCGAAAGCAUAGGUAGCGAACAGG
rnacentral:rRNA from 1 species